CACCACGCCACUCAUUUUUUCUUAUAAACCCCAGCUGUUACAAUCUCAUCUUCCUCCUCUAUCUUUAAUGACCAAACCAACGUAAAAAACUGACCCUACACUCACCAAUCACCAUUGUCGCCUUCAUCCUUGAACAGAAACCAGAUUCAAUUGAGGAUGCUUGGAACAGGAUUCAGGAUUUGAGAAGAAGCAACCAGCCUCUCAACAUUUAUUGUUGCGAUGCUUUCAUUCAGGGGUCGUGCCAAGAAUAUAGACCAGAUGAGGCUUUCCUAUGAAACUGGUGAUUUUUUGUAUUUUUAAACUUCAUGUCUUUUUAGUAAUAUUCAAAAAAAUAAUUGCAAAGUGAAAAAAAAUCUAAUUACAUAAUAUCAGAAUAAUUUUCACUAAUAAUAA